GAUGAACGCUGGCGGCGUGCCUAAUACAUGCAAGUCGAGCGAACAGACGAGGAGCUUGCUCCUCUGACGUUAGCGGCGGACGGGUGAGUAACACGUGGAUAACCUACCUAUCAGACUGGGAUAACUUCGGGAAACCGGAGCUAAUACCGGAUAAUAUAUUGAACCGCAUGGUUCAAUAGUGAAAGACGGUUUUGCUGGCACUUAUAGCUGGAUCCGCGCCGCAUUAGCUAGUUGGUAAGGUAACGGCUUACCAAGGCAACGAUGCGUAGCCGACCUGAGAGGGGGAUCGGCCACACUGGAACUGAGACACGGUCCAGACUCCUACGGGAGGCAGCAGUAGGGAAUCUGACGCAAUGGGCGGAAGCCUGACGGAGCAACGCCGCGUGAGUGAUGAAGGUCUUCGGAUCGUAAAACUCUGUUAUUAGGGAAGAACAAAUGUGUAAGUAACUAUGCACGUCUUGACGGUACCUAAUCAGAAAGCCACGGCUAACUACGUG
rnacentral:rRNA from 1 species